rnacentral:rRNA from 1 species
CUCAGUUCGGAUUGGAGUCUGCAACCCGACUCCAUGAAGCUGGAUUCGCUAGUAAUCGCGCAUCAGCCACGGCGCGGUGAAUACGUUCCCGGGCCUUGUACACACCGCCCGUCAAGCCAUGGGAGCCGGGGGUACCUGAAGUGCGUGACCGCAAGGAGCGCCCUAAGGUAAAACCGGUGACUGGGGCUAAGUCGUAACAAGGUAUC